UUUGGACUGUCUCAUACUAUUAAGCUUUUACAAAACCAAAAAAGUCGGAGUGUACAAGCAAACUCACUUUUCAAAGCAUACUUUUAAGUUGUACUAGUACCCUUCAGGAGCCAAUACUUUGACAGUUUCCGACCAUCAUGCAGGGAAGAAACUUCUUCUUUGUCUUCAUGAUUAUGGCGUUUAGUUGCUUCUGGUUGAAGAGAUCCGCAGAGGCACAGGUACCCCAACAAGAAGUUGAUGCACUCAAAGAAAUAACUAGUACGAUGGGUGUGAAGGAUUGGAGGUUUGAUGCUAAUUCUUGCCAAAUUAUUGGGGUAACACCAGAGCCACCUGAGAAUGCUGAGAGCAGCAUCAAUUGUGAUUGUCACUUUGAGAACAACAACACUGUCUGUAAUGUCGUAAAGAUAGUGCUAAAGGGUUAUAGUCUUCCUGGCAUGCUUCCACCUCAACUUGUCAAACUUCCUCAGCUCCGAGAAAUUGAUUUUGCGUACAACUAUCUCAACGGAACAAUACCACUGGAAUGGGCUUCAACACAAUUAACUUUUAUCUCUGUUCUUGUGAAUCGCUUAUCAGGGGAAAUUCCAAAGGAGUUGGGAAAUAUUACUACUCUCACAUACCUGUGCCUUGAAGCAAACCAAUUCUCUGGCAUUGUUCGUCCUGAGCUUGGCGAUUUGACCAACUUGCAGACUUUGAUGCUUUCCUCCAAUAAUUUGACAGGGAACUUGCCGAUGGCCUUUGCUGGGCUGAGAAACCUAACAGAUUUUAGGAUAAAUGAUAACAAAUUCAGAGGAAUUAUACCUGAUUUCAUACAGAAUUGGAAACAACUGACAAGACUAGAAAUGCACGCAAGUGGACUCGAGGGACCUAUUCCACCAAAUAUAUCUCUUCUGAAUAAUUUACUUCAGUUGAGGAUUAGUGAUAUAGAUGGGCCAAAUCAGGACUUUCCUAUGUUGAGAAACAUGGCAGGCAUAAUAAGAUUGGUUUUGAGAAAUUGUAAGAUUUCUGGGGAGAUCCCUGCAUACAUCUGGACAAUGAAACAACUGGAGAUGUUGGAUGUCAGUUUUAACAAACUGGUUGGGGAACUUCCACCUAGUAUAAAGUUAGAGCGCCUGAGAUUCCUCUUUUUAACUGGCAACUUGCUAAGUGGAAAUGUGGGAGACUCGGUCUUGAAGGAAGGAAGUAAUAUUGAUCUUUCAUACAAUAACUUCACAUGGCAAGGCCCUGAGCAACCAGCUUGUCACGAAAACAUGAAUUUAAACCUUAACUUGUUUCGAAGCUCUUUAAUUGAUGAUGAUGUUAGUAGAAGGCAAGAUCCUCAUUGCUCGAAGAAUUUCAACUGUCCACGAUAUUUGAAUUGUAUGCAUGUCAAUUCUGGUGGAAAGGAUGCAACCAUCAAGGAGAAUAAAACAAAUUUUGUAUAUGAAGGAGAUGGUGAUGUUGAAGGUGGUGCUGCAGAAUACUUUAUUAAUGGCAACAGUUAUUGGGGAUUUAGUAGCACUGGAGACUUCAUGGAUGAUUUUGAUUUCCAAAAUACACGUUACACUGUGUCUCCGCCAUUAUCAAAUAUCUCUGAAUUGUAUACAACAGCACGUAGAUCUCCUAUAUCACUUACGUAUUUCCAUUAUUGCUUAGAAAAUGGGAACUACACUGUGAGUCUCCAUUUUGCAGAAAUACAGUUCACAAAUGACAAGACAUAUAACAGUCUUGGGAAGCGUAUAUUUGAUAUCUACAUUCAGGAAAAAUUAGUGUGGAAGGAUUUCAAUAUUGAAGAUGAUGCUAGUAUUGCUCAGAAGCCAGUAAUAAAACACGUAUCUAACAUUAGUGUGGUAAACAAUGUCUUAGAGAUCCGAUUCUAUUGGGCUGGUAAAGGAACGACAAGAAUCCCUAGUAGUGGAGUUUAUGGUCCCCUUAUAUCAGCUGUUUCUGUGGUUUCCGAUUCCAAAUUUUGUUCAAAUGGUGGAACCAAGCGAAAUGUUUAUAUCAUUGCUGGUGUUUCAGUUGGAGCAUUAUUCUUGUUACUCUUUAUAGUGGGAAUCCUUUGGUGGAAAGGCUGUUUGUGGAGGAAGAAGGGGAGAAAAGAAGAUAUUAAAGGACUAGAGUUGCAGACAGGAACUUUUACCUUAAAACAAAUAAAAGCUGCCACUAAUGACUUUGAUUCUGCCAACAAAAUUGGAGAAGGUGGUUUUGGUCCUGUAUACAAGGGUCAAUUACCUGAUGGUACUGUCAUAGCAGUUAAACAGCUCUCAUCUAAAUCAAAGCAAGGAAAUCGUGAAUUUCUAAAUGAAAUAGGCAUGAUUUCUUGUGUGCAACACCCAAAUCUGGUGAAGCUUCAUGGAUGCUGUAUUGAAGGGGAGCAAUUGUUGUUGGUCUAUGAGUACAUGGAAAAUAAUAACCUUGCCCGUGCAUUAUUUGGUCCAGAAAUCAGUCAGCUUAAACUGGACUGGCCUACAAGGCUUAAGAUAUGUAUUGGGAUAGCAAGAGGCUUAGCUUUUCUCCAUGAAGAAUCAAGAAUCAAGAUUGUUCACAGAGACAUCAAAGCUACUAAUGUGUUGCUGGAUGGUGACUUAAACCCUAAAAUAUCUGACUUUGGAUUGGCUAAACUUGAUGAAGAGGAGAAGACCCACAUUAGCACCAGGGUAGCUGGAACCAUAGGAUAUAUGGCACCAGAAUAUGCAUUAUGGGGUUAUUUGACCUACAAAGCAGAUGUUUAUAGUUUUGGAGUUGUGGCCUUAGAAGUUCUCAGUGGAAAGAGCAACAAUAAUUAUAUACCAAGUGACAAUUGUGUUUGCCUUUUAGAUCAGGCCUGCCAUUUGCAACAAACUGGAAACUUGAUGAAGCUAAUUGAUGAGAGCUUGGGGUCAGAGGUCAAUGCAAAAGAAGCAGAAAUUUUGGUUAAAGUAGCUCUUCUGUGCACAAAUGCAUCCGCAUCACUUAGGCCUACCAUGUCUGAAGUCGUAAGUAUGCUUGAAGGGCGAAUGACUGUUCCAGACAUGAUUCCUGAACCAAGUACCUAUAGUGAUGAUCUAAGGUUUAAGGCUAUGAGAGACCUUCAUCGACAAAGGGAAAAUCAUAGUUUGAGCAAAAGCCAAACCCAAAAUUCAACAACAAUCCAUACAUUCUCCACUCCCACUGUAUCUACCCAAGAUUUUUAUGAAAUCAAUCCAGAAUCUAGUACUGGUUAGAGUGAUGAGCAUUCCGAUUAGUUCCUCAUUGAGCAUAGUGUUUAUUCUUUAACUCUAUACCUGACUUCUUGUGGCUAUUACUAAAGCUUCAUCUAUACACAUGGACAUGAUUUGGCAUGAUAAAUCAUCCGGGAAAAGUUUAAAGUAGGGAUGCACUAAUAUAAUGUAAUUAUUUCUGUAUAAAUGUUUUUUUAGGAUAGAGAGGGAAUAUGUAGGGAUUUAUUUAUUUUCAUUCUUUCUUGUGUUCUAUUUAUAAUUUAUUUAUGGUAAAAAUAGUAAAAAUUGAAUUUGCUGUGUUA